rnacentral:rRNA from 1 species
AGUGAACGCUGGCGGCGUGCCUAAUACAUGCAAGUCGAACGAGUGGCGCACGGGUGAGUAAUGUCUGGGAAACUGCCUGCUGGUGGGGGAUAACUACUGGAAACGGUAGCUACUACCGCAUACCAUCAGAUGUGCCCAGAUGGGAUUAGCUAGUAGGUGGGGUAAUGGCUCACCUAGGCGACGAUCCCUAGCUGGUCUGAGAGGAUGACCAGCCAAACUGGAACUGAGACACGGCCCAGACUCCUACGGGAGGCAGCAGUGGGGAAUAUUGCAAAAUGGGCGAAAGCCUGAUAAAGAAAUGCCGCGUGUGUGAAGAGGGCCUUCGGGUUGUAAAGCACUUUCAGCGAGGAGGCGGUACUCGAAGAAGAAGCACCGGCUAACUCCGUGCCAGCAGCCGCGGUAAUAC